rnacentral:rRNA from 1 species
GAUGAACGCUAGCGGAGCGCCUAACACAUGCAAGUCGAACGGUACUUCGGUACAGUGGCAGACGGGCGAGUAACACGUGCUUAAUUUGCCUCGGAGCGGGGAACAACGGUUGAAAGGCCGCUAAUUCCCCAUACGAUCCUAGAAAUGAAAAUACUAGGAUGAAAGGUUUACCACUCCGAGAGAAGAGCGCGGCCUAUUAGAUAGUUGGUGAGGUAAUGGCUCACCAAGUCGAUGAUGGGUAGCUGGUCUGAGAGGAUGACCAGCCGCAAUGGAACUGAGACACGGUCCAUACCCCUACGGGGGGCAGCAGUGGGGAAUAUUGGACAAUGGGGGAAACCCUGAUCCAGCGACUCCGCGUGGAGGAUGACGCAUUACGGUGUGUAAACUCCUUUUUGGAGGAAGACGACUGACGGUACUCCAAGAAUAAGCGACGGCUAACUACGUG